UAGAGUUUGUCCUGGCUCAGGAUGAACGCUAGCUACAGGCUUAACACAUGCAAGUCGAGGGGCAGCAGGACGGUAGCUUGCUACUGUCGCUGGCGACCGGCGCACGGGUGAGUAACGCGUAUCCAACCUGCCCACGGCUGGGGGAUAACCCGCGGAAACGCGGCCUAAUACCCCAUGGCCCCGCAUGAAGGCAUCCGAGUGCGGGUAAGGGCCUUGGCCGGCCGUGGAUGGGGAUGCGUCCGAUUAGCUGGUCGGUGGGGCGACGGCCCACCGAGGCGACGAUCGGUAGGGGUUCUGAGAGGAAGGCCCCCCACAUUGGGACUGAGACACGGCCCAAACUCCUACGGGAGGCAGCAGUGAGGGAUAUUGGUCAAUGGGCGGGAGCCUGAACCAGCCAAGUAGCGUGCAGGAUGACGGCCCUAUGGGUUGCAGACUGCUUUUGCGCGGGGACAAAGCGGGCCACGUGUGGCCCUUUGCGGGUACCGCGCGAAUAAGGACCGGCUAAUUCCGUGCCAGCAGCCGCGGUAAUACGGAAGGUCCCGGUGUUAUCCGGAUUCAUUGGGUUUAAAGGGAGCGCAGGCCGCCCGGUAAGCGUGUUGUGAAAUGCGGACGCCCAACGUCCGAGCUGCAGCGCGAACUGCCGGGCUUGAGUGCGCACAACGCGGGCGGAACUCGCCGUGUAGCGGUGAAAUGCUUAGAUAUGGCGAAGAACCCCGAUUGCGAAGGCAGCCCGCGGGGGCGCCACUGACGCUCAUGCUCGAAAGCGCGGGUAUCGAACAGGAUUAGAUACCCUGGUAGUCCGCGCGGUAAACGAUGG
rnacentral:rRNA from 1 species